AGUGAACGCUGGCGGCGUGCUUAACACACGCAAGUCGAACGAGAACGGAAUAUAGCUUGCUAUAUUUGUCAGCUAAGUGGCGCACGGGUGAGUAAUGUAUAGGUAACCUGCCCUUAAGAAAGGAAUAACAGUUGGAAACGACUGCUAAUGCCCUAUAUGCCUUUAAUACAUAAGUAUGCAAGGGAAACGCUUUAGUGCUUAAGGAUGGGUCUGUAUGGUAUCAGCUUGUUGGUGAGGUAAUGGCUCACCAAGGCUAUGACGCCUAACUGGUUUGAGAGGAUGAUCAGUCACACUGGAACUGAGACACGGUCCAGACUCCUACGGGAGGCAGCAGUGGGGAAUAUUGCACAAUGGACGAAAGUCUGAUGCAGCAACGCCGCGUGGAGGAUGACACAUUUCGGUGCGUAAACUCCUUUUAUAUAGGAAGAUAAUGACGGUACUAUAUGAAUAAGCACCGGCUAACUCCGUGCCAGCCGCCGCAGUAACAC
rnacentral:rRNA from 1 species